rnacentral:snRNA from 1 species
UACUGCUAGCACCAGCAAAU